rnacentral:rRNA from 1 species
CCUACGGGUGGCAGCAGUGGGGAAUAUUGGGCAAUGGGCGCAAGCCUGACCCAGCAACGCCGCGUGAAGGAAGAAGGCUUUCGGGUUGUAAACUUCUUUUGACAGGGAAGAGUAGAAGACGGUACCUGUCGAAUACGCCACGGCUAACUACGUGCGCGCAGCCGCUGUAAUACGUAGGUGGCAAGCGUUGUCCGGACUUACUGGGUGUAAAGGGCGUGUAGCCGGGUUGACAAGUCAGAUGUGAAAUCCUACGGCUUAACCGCAGAACUGCAUGUGAAACUGUUGAUCGUGAGUACUGGAGAGGCAGAGGGAAUUCCUAGUGUAGGGGUUAAAUGCGUAGAGAGUAUGAGGAACACCAGUGGCGAAGGCGGUCUGCUGGACAGCAACUGACGGUGAGGCGCGAAAGCGUGGGGAGCAAACAGGAUUAGAUACCCUUGUAGUC